CUGAAAUAAGCAAGAGUACCCGCUGAACUUAAGCAUAUCAGUAAGCGGAGGAAAAGAAAAUAACAAUGAUUACCUUAGUAGCGGCGAGUGAAUAGGUAAAAGCCCAAGAUGUUAAUCUGCUAUAAAGUAGUAGAAUUGUAAUCUAUGGAGUAGCUCGGAAGGUUGAGACUCAUCAUAAGUGCCUUGGAAAAGGACGCCAGAGAAGGUGAAAGCCCUGUCUUCGGAUGAGUCGAGGCGAUACGAGAUAUUUCUAAGAGUC
rnacentral:rRNA from 1 species